AGUCGUACAGGUUUCCGUAGGUGACCUGCGGAAGGAUCAUUAUUGAAGUAAACCUGAUGAGUUGCUGCUGGUUCUUUCUCUAGGGAACAUGUGCACGCUUGUCAUCUUUAUAUCUCCACCUGUGCACCUUUUGUAGACCUUGAUAUCUUUCUGAGUGCUAGUCACGCAGGUUUGAGGAUUGACUUUAUGUCUUUCCUUACAUUUCUCGGUCUAUGUUUCUUAAUAUACUCCAAUGUAUGUUUUAGAAUGUAGUCAAAUGGGCCUUUGUGCCUAUAGAACUAUACAACUUUCAGCAACGGAUCUCUUGGCUCUCGCAUCGAUGAAGAACGCAGCGAAAUGCGAUAAGUAAUGUGAAUUGCAGAAUUCAGUGAAUCAUCGAAUCUUUGAACGCACCUUGCGCUCCUUGGUAUUCCGAGGAGCAUGCCUGUUUGAGUGUCAUUAAUGUAUGUCAACCUCUUUUGAGUGUUGGGAUGUGGGGGUCUUGUUUUGCUGGCCUUUUGUCCAAGAAGGUCAGCUCCCCUUAAAUGCAUUAGCGGAACCUUGUGUGGACCGUUCAUUGGUGUGAUAAUUAUCUACACUAUUGACGUGAAGCAGUUCAGCUUCUAACCGUCCAUUGGCUUGGACAAUGUUUCAUUAAUGUGACCUCAAAUCAGUAGGCUACCCGCUGA
rnacentral:rRNA from 1 species